UAGGGAAUCUUCCACAAUGGACGCAAGUCUGAUGGAGCAACGCCGCGUGAGUGAAGAAGGUUUUCGGACCGUAAAGCUCUGUUGUUGGUGAAGAAGGAUAGAGGCAGUAACUGGUCUUUAUUUGACGGUAAUCAACCAGAAAGUCACGGCUAACUACGUGCCAG
rnacentral:rRNA from 1 species